GUGUUAUCUAGAACUCCUUCUUCCUGUAGAAGGCCCCUGUUUUACAGUUCUCUGCAAGCAGGAAUGGUGUGACUCCAGGGACAUUAUUCUGUGUGGAAGGAGCAGUAUGUCCACGGGCUUAUGCCACUUUUUUUAAAAGCCUUCAGAUCCAAGAAUCAGGCAGUGAGUUUUGAUACAAUAAAAUUUACUGUGCAAUAAUAAAUCGAUUUCUUCAUAUGUUUAAUUGCUGAGUGUUCCUUAGAAUAACCUGGUCUGGAACAAUGCUGUAACAGAAGGGAGAAAGGAAGGAAACUUCCUGAAUGCAUGCUCUGUGCCUAGUAAAGUAUUUUAUAUCUUGUUUUGACCUCCCCAAACUGCAAUUACUAUCUUCAUUUAAUGAAGAACAGGCUUGGAUUGGAGGGGUUGCCCAGCCUCACAUUAUCUGGUAAGUGUUUGAGCUUUUAAUCCUGAAGUGAUUGAAAACAGUAAUGGCAUUCAACCAUAACUUUUCCUUUCUUAUUUGGGGACUAGGAGGGGGCUUCUUUUCCUUAACAGAGACAAAAACCACGAUAGCGGGCAUGCAGAAAAUUCUCAUGGUGGUGCAAAAUACAAUGAUAAAAGGAUAUCCCUGCUUUAUUCUGAUAUCUUGGUAUAACUUACAUAAAUUAUCUUUUGGGGGUGAAAAAGUUGACUAGUUCUAUAUAUUCUCAGGAGAAACGAGCAUCAUCAGAUGUCACUUGGCCAAGAAAUCCCUGGCCUGCUGAAGCAAGAUUGCCUUGUGGCCUCUGAUGCAUUACGUUACUCAGUUCUUCCCCUCGUUUGCAAACAGAUGGGUACAAUACUUUUUUAAAGUAUGACAAAGCCUUGAAUUUGGCCACCACCUGAAGGAAAGUGAGAGGGGCUGGUGUGUGGUUCAGUGGCAAUAUAGGACCAAUGAGUGAUGACAUCCAGCCUGAUGAUGACAGGAGUCCAUGACUGCCAUGCAUGGCUACUCUUGCCCCAGGAACAUGGAAACCACUAGUCACAAGUCUAUGUGAGAUCAAGAUGACUGACAACCUGAGGUAAUUUCUAAUUCAUUGCAGUCCACUGGGUCCCAGAAUGAUAGCCCUGACUCUUGUAAGUUCUGCAUGAAUGUCGUAUGUUCUUUAAUAGCACCAAGUAAGGAAGUGAUGUUAAGGCUUGUCACCUUGCAGGCUACUUACUCUUCAAAGAGGCAUGGAUGGUAAAGUUAGAUUGAUAUCCACACUUCCUCAGCCCAGUAUUAGAAUUAUGUAGGCAAUUACUCCUGAUAGAGCGGUGGUAUAACUGUGAUUCCCACUAGCAUCAUUAUAUACUGGUGUGCAAUUUACUUUUUGCCCUUACAUUGUAGAGAACUUUCAGAAUAAGCACACAUCAUUCUCUUUAAUCAUUUUUGGCUUCAUUGUAUAAUUUCUCCUAUUAAUGGACAUUUGGGUUCUUCUCAUGUUCAUUAUUACAAACAUAUUGUAACGUAUAUUUUUGUACAUAUUUUUAUAUUUGAUUUCCAUAGGAGGAAUUAAUAGAAGUAAGUUUGCUCAAAGACUAUGCCUUGAAAAUGUAAAAGAUAAAGCCGAAUUUUCUAAGAUUCAUGUUAAGUUCCACUUCAAAUAAUGUGAAUGCUGGUUUCCCCACACCUUAGCUAAUACCGUAGAGGGUGUCAUCAAUCCUGGUCUUUGCCAAGGUAAUAGUGAGGAGUAUGGUCAAAUUGUUUUACUUAUUGAAGGGUUGAUUAUCAUUUACUAUCUUUAUUGGUAAUUUGUAUUUUUUUUCUGUGAGUUACCUGAUCAUGUUCUUUAUCCAUUUUCUAAUUUAGGGUAUUGAUCUUUUUAUGUAUUGAUUCACCAGGACUUUCCAUACAUAUAUUGUGGAUAUUAACCCUGUGUCUGACAGUGAUGCAAUUGUUUUUCUCAGUCUUUGGAGUUGGUAUAUAUGCUAAAGUAUUUCUGUGAAGAGAAACUUCACCUUACCUACAAUACCGUUUAGUACAGUUCAUAGAGGAAAGAUUGAUGCAAGAAAUUGAAGAUUGCUAUACUGCUUUUGGUGUUUGAGCUAAAAGGCACAGGAAACCAAGAUAAACAGAAAACCUGUACCUGUACUUAAAUUUGGGCCCAUCUCCAGACAUAGACGAUUUCCCUCCAUCCAGACUCAGUCCCAGCCCAGCCGAGGUCUUCAGCACUUCAACACACAGAGCCUCGUGUGCACCUGUGCUUCUCCCUGC